AAGACCUUGCACUUUUGGAGCGGCCGAUGUCUGAUUAGCUAGUUGGUGGGGUAAUGGCCUACCAAAGCUUCGAUCAGUAGCUGGUCUGAGAGGACGGCCAGCCACACUGGGACUGAGACACGGCCCAGACUCCUACGGGAGGCAGCAGUGGGGAAUUUUGGACAAUGGGCGCAAGCCUGAUCCAGCCAUGCCGCGUGAGUGAAGAAGGCCUUCGGGUUGUAAAGCUCUUUCAGCCGGGAAGAAAAGGUUGCGAUUAAUAAUCGCAAUUUAUGACGGUACCGGAAGAAGAAGCACCGGCUAACUACGUGCCAGCAGCCGCGGUAAUACGUAGGGUGCGAGCGUUAAUCGGAAUUACUGGGCGUAAAGGGUGCGCAGGCGGUUUUGUAAGACAGAUGUGAAAUCCCCGGGCUUAACCUGGGAACU
rnacentral:rRNA from 1 species